UAAGGAAUAUUGGUCAAUGGAGGCAACUCUGAACCAGCCAUGCCGCGUGCAGGAAGACAGCCCUAUGGGUCGUAAACUGCUUUUAUGUCGGAAUAAACCUAGGUACGUGUACUUAGCUGAAUGUACGGCAAGAAUAAGGAUCGGCUAACUCCGUGCCAGCAGCCGCGGUAAUACGGAGGAUCCAAGCGUUAUCCGGAUUUAUUGGGUUUAAAGGGAGCGUAGGCGGCUUAUUAAGUCAGGGGUGAAAGACGGUGGCUCAACCAUCGCAGUGCCUUUGAUACUGAUGAGCUUGAAUGUAGUUGAGGUAGGCGGAAUGUGACAAGUAGCGGUGAAAUGCAUAGAUAUGUCACAGAACACCAAUUGCGAAGGCAGCUUACUAAACUAUGAUUGACGCUGAGGCUCGAAAGCGUGGGGAUCAAACAGGAUUAGAUACCCUGGUAGUCCACGCCCUAAACGAUGAUAACUCGAUGUUUGCGAUAUACAGUAAGCGUCCAAGCGAAAGCGUUAAGUUAUCCACCUGGGGAGUACGGUCGCAAGAUUGA
rnacentral:rRNA from 1 species